GAGUAUCGUACUUCGAUAUUGUGAAGUAUUUUGCUGGUAUAAUAAAUCGAUCGUUGAAUUCGAUUUUCAUCUUUCUGGACAAGUACCGAACCAACCAUCUUUGUCGAGGUCGCCAGAUAGAGAUACAAUAUUUCUCCCACCUUCGAUUUUAUAAAUAGUGAGGGAGAUGUCAAAUAUUUUUUCAAAUCUUCGAAGGAUUGCCGGCACUCAUCUGACCAUGAAAAGUCUUUUGCUUGCCGCA
rnacentral:lncRNA from 1 species